UAAUACGUAGGUGGCGAGCGUUAUCCGGAAUUAUUGGGCGUAAAGCGCCCGCAGGCGGCUGUUCAAGUCUGACGUGAAAUCGCUCGGCUUAACUGGGCGGGGUCGUUGGAAACUGAAUAGCUUGAGGCAAGGAGAGGGGCGUGGAAUUCCCGGUGUAGUGGUGGAAUGCGUAGAUAUCGGGAGGAACAUCAGUGGCGCAAGCGGCGCCCUGGCCUUAGCCUGACGCUCAGGGGCGAAAGCGUGGGGAGCGAACGGGAUUAGAUACCCCGGUAGUCCACGCCGUAAACGAUGAACACUAGGUGUGGGUGGGUUCAAAACCAUCUGUGCCGCAGCCAACGCGUUAAGUGUUCCGCCUGGGGAGUACGGCCGCAAGGCU
rnacentral:rRNA from 1 species